rnacentral:rRNA from 1 species
CGAAUACCGGAGAAUGUUAUCACGGGAGACACACGGCGGGUGCUAACGUCCGUCGUGAAGAGGGAAACAACCCAGACCGCCAGCUAAGGUCCCAAAGUCAUGGUUAAGUGGGAAACGAUGUGGGAAGGCCCAGACAGCCAGGAUGUUGGCUUAGAAGCAGCCAUCAUUUAAAGAAAGCGUAAUAGCUCACUGGUCGAGUCGGCCUGCGCGGAAGAUGUAACGGGGCUAAACCAUGCACCGAAGCUGCGGCAGCGACACUAUGUGUUGUUGGGUAGGGGAGCGUUCUGUAAGCCUGUGAAGGUGGCCUGUGAGGGUUGCUGGAGGUAUCAGAAGUGCGAAUGCUGACAUAAGUAACGAUAAAGCGGGUGAAAAGCCCGCUCGCCGGAAGACCAAGGGUUCCUGUCCAACGUUAAUCGGGGCAGGGUGAGUCGACCCCUAAGGCGAGGCCGAAAGGCGUAGUCGAUGGGAAACAGGUUAAUAUUCCUGUACUUGGUGUUACUGCGAAGGGGGGACGGAGAAGGCUAUGUUGGCCGGGCGACGGUUGUCCCGGUUUAAGCGUGUAGGCUGGUUUUCCAGGCAAAUCCGGAAAACCAAGGCUGAGGCGUGAUGACGAGGCACUACGGUGCUGAAGCGACAAAUGCCCUGCUUCCAGGAAAAGCCUCUAAGCAUCAGGUAACAUCAAAUCGUACCCCAAACCGACACAGGUGGUCAGGUAGAGAAUACCAAGGCGCUUGAGAGAACUCGGGUGAAGGAACUAGGCAAAAUGGUGCCGUAACUUCGGGAGAAGGCACGCUGAUAUGUAGGUGAAGCGACUUGCUCGUGGAGCUGAAAUCAGUCGAAGAUACCAGCUGGCUGCAACUGUUUAUUAAAAACACAGCACUGUGCAAACACGAAAGUGGACGUAUACGGUGUGACGCCUGCCCGGUGCCGGAAG